UUUUCUCUCUUCUCUAGAUUCCGUCGAGACUCUUUCGUCUUCUUCUUCUUCCCUCUUCACUCGUUUCUAUCGAUCCAAAGUUAUGUCCUCUCUCUUCUUCUCCAUGAGAAAUCCGCCGUGAGAACACCCCGUGUCUUCUCUUUGAAAUAGAGAUGGAUAUGAGUAUGUUCGGUUCGCUUUUGGUUUCUUAGGUUGAUAUAUAGAAGGAGAAGGCGAGGGAGCAUGAGCAAGAGAAGGAAUAUGAGAAAGAGAAGGAGAAGGAGAAGAGAAGAAGAUUUGGUGUUUGGGUUUUUAGAUACAAUUGUGUUUGAUUUGUCUUUUGGUUUCUUAUGUUGAUGUAUAAAUCUAAGUGUUUAGGUACAACUGGUACGCUCAUGUACAACUAUGUAUCUGGGUUUAUGAUUUUUUGAAAGAAAAAAAAACUAUCCAAGUAUGUAUGAAUCUAUGAAUCUGAAUCUUAAUAUCUUUAUGUAUGAA